rnacentral:tmRNA from 1 species
GGGGGCGUAAUGGUUUCGACGGGGUUGUUGAAACUGGAGUAGCGGGUAGAGGAUUCUCGUUGGCCUCUUUAAAAAACGAGAGUUUAAAUUAAAUGCUAAUAACGAUAAUAACGUUUUAGCUGCUGCCUAAAUACAGGCAGCCCGUCAGUCUAGGGUUCCUGCACCUUGGGUAGCUGGCGUCAUUAAGUCAGGCCUUUUGCAUGGGAAGGUUAAAUGCUAAAACUACCGUAGAUGUAUCCUUGGUCUGCGGCGGAUUUAAAAGGAUACCAAGCUGUAUAGCCGGCUCUUAGGCGAUGCAGUAAGGGAAUGUUUAAAGUAAGAGCUGCACCCGGAGAAGCUCUUGUGGAAACAGUUUCGGACAGGGGUUCGAUUCCCCUCGCCUCCACCA